CAACACUCUCUGAUGCAUAACUUUAUUGAAUGAUUUUUGUGCAGUUUUUCUUUUUUUCUUAGCUCACUGGCACAGUAAAGUUUGAGAGGGUAUCCAGUGGUAUUUUUGUCCUUUUUUGUUUCUGUGUUAAUCCACUUUUGUGAUAUAUAUUUGGAUAAAUUAGUGCCUCUUUUUUUUAUGAGCAGGGUCUGAUGGAUGCGAGAUCGAAACUAAAACCAAGUCCUCCUUGAAAGAAGGGUUAGGUCAACAGCUUAAAAUUGAUCAUAUGAAGGAGUCCAAAGACUUAAAAAGAGAUUGCCUAAACAAUGUGCCGCACACAGGUACAGCUUUUGAAGUUGAAGGAGGGAAACCUGGGAGUGAUAGAAAUGAAGAAGGCGGAGAUAAGUUGUGUUAAAGAUACUGAUUUAGAAGAGAGAAGCUAUAAUGUCGAGAUCACUGACACUGAAGCAUCAGAGGGUUUGCUAUAUGAAGAAGUUCUGACAUUGCUGAGUAAGAGUGCUCAAAGGAAAGAACGACGGGAAGCUCUUUUGGAACGAAAAAAGAAGGUACAUCACUACUUUUUCUUUUUUUUCAUCAGUUGGGGUUCCAUUUUUUUAUAGUUUUCCAGCUCAAAUAAAUUCACACACCUUUUUACCUUCUAUAUUUCUUUUGCAGCAGAGA